UCAAACAUGAUUUAGAAUUUUUUAUUUUUUUAUAAAAAAACUUUAGCUUAUGUGAUAUUUCCUGAACCAGUAAAAAUCAGAUUCGAUUUAUUUCCAAAGAGAAAAAAAAAUACAUUUACAUUAUGUACAUAUGAAGGGGUUCAUGUUGAUAUUGUAAUAGUCUCGUUGUCGGAAGGUCAUUCAUGCUCAAAAUCUCCUCUUGUAAAGCAAAAGGUCAAACCCUCUUGGCUUUGGAGUAGUUUGCUGGCAGCAAAGGAUGUGCUUAAAGCCGGUUUAAUUUGGAAGAUUGGUGAUGGAAAGCUUGUUAGCAAGUGUGGGCUUUCUCCAAAAAUGGUGAAUUUACAGUCAAGUCUUCCUAUCAUGUGGCUUUACAAAACAUUGCCCCUUGCCCAACUAUUUUUUGAUGCUCACAGAGAAAGCUGUUCAUGCAUCCCUCUCCAUGGCUACUGGGGCCAACUGUGGUCUCUUAAAGUCAAGCCUAAGGUGCAGCAUUUUUUAUGGCGUUGUCUCCACGGUUGCAUUUCAACUCAAUUGGCGUUAUGGAAGAAAGGGGUGGUGGAGGAUGCUGUUUGCCAAGCCUGUGGUAUGGAGGUGGAAGAUCUGUUGCAUAUGUUGGGUGGUUGUUCUAGGCCAGCUCGAGUGUGGAAAUUUUGUCCUCUCUGUGUGGAUCCACUUGUUUCCUUGGGUUCUUGUUGGGCAGAGUGGUGGUUUGCGCUUGGUCAGUGGAAUGCAAAGUGUUGUGUUUCCAUGGGGAGUUAUGGUCGGAACAUGAAAUAAUUUCGAUGGCUCUGUCUGUCCCAGUUCUUGGAAUUUCUUGAUGUGCUUGACCCUUGUGGUUUGGAGGAGGACAACGAUAGAGGAGUUUUGCCUGUGUCAUGGGCUAGCAGGAGGGAUUGUGGUUCGUGAUUGCAAUGGUCAGCUGGUGGCUUCCAUCACCUGCGUUUUUGCUGAUGUUUGGGAGGCCUCUAUUGCCAUAGCCCUUGUUUUGAGGCAUGCUGUGCAGGUUGUUAGUAGCUGGGGUUGUCUCUGAGUCGGAUGCUCAGCUUGUGGUUAACGCUCUGCGCACUCUAGGUCAUACCAGGUGAUACGAGGCUGUCUACAUGGAUAGUUGCAUGAAAAGUCUCAAUUUCUUCAAUGUCAGAGCUUCAUCAUUCCCCAACAAACCCAAUGGCUCCAAGGUAUAUCUAAAUGGGACUUUAAUAUCAAGUUUAGUCCAAGACUCGCACACCCCAUAUUCCUUCAUAACCCAAAGUGCAUCAUGUAACGGUAGUACACAAAGGCAUCCUUCAAACAACAGUAGGUGGCAAUGGCGAUGGACGAAGGAAGUAGGCAAGGGAAUCCUCCUCAGUUUCUCAUCCGCCAAACUAAAUGCAGCAAUCUCUAAUGAUGUGUGGAAAUCAAGCCAAUGAAUGGCUCCAUUCAGG